ACAAUCAGAUAUUUUUUACUUUUUGGCUCGUGGGUGUGUAGAGAUCUUGUUGUCUCUUUUAUGAAUGUAGUUUAGAAGAAGUCCAAAACAUCGAGCAAGUUGAUGAAGAGUAUCGAGACUCACCUUUGAAAAUUAAUUAGCCAAUUUCAUUCACGAUGCACCAUCUGUGUGAGAAUUGAUAAGAAAAUAGAACCAGAUAUGCAGAUUGCUUCCAAUAUUAUGUUUAUUGAGUUUAAUUGAGAGAUGAAGCAACUUCAGUUGUAAUAGUCUAGAU